rnacentral:rRNA from 1 species
UACGAAGGGGGGCUAGCGUUGCUCGGAAUCACUGGGCGUAAAGCGCACGUUAGGCGGACUCUUAAGUCGGUGGUGAAAUCCUGGAGCUCAACUCCAGAACUGCCUUCGAUACUGAGAGUCUCGAGUCCGGAAGAGGAGAGUGGAAUUCCUGGUGUAGCGGUGAAAUGCGCAGAUAUCAGGAAGAACACCAAUGGCGAAGGCAGCUCGCUGGGACGUUACUGACGCUGAGACGCGAAAGCGUGGGGAGCAAACAGG